rnacentral:snRNA from 1 species
GGGCAUGAGGUUGAUUUGGCUGCAAUAUCUGCCGUUAUACUGAUCACUGGGAUUGAUUUGGCUAAAUUGGUUUGCCAAGUGCAAAUCUCCACCUACCACAUCAUUCCAUUAAAAGUCCCUCCUGAGGUUUUGAAGCUUUGUUAAAAGGGAACAACAUACCCAGAGAGAGAACCAUUCAUUAGUCAAGGUUAAAUCAGUUAAUGAGCUCAAUUUUUUUUGUUUGUUUGUUUGUUAAGUAAAAGCAAGAGUACUUGAUCACUGUUCUCAGCUCUUAACU